UACGUAGGGUGCGAGCGUUGUCCGGAAUUAUUGGGCGUAAAGAGCUCGUAGGCGGUCUGUCGCGUCGGCUGUGAAAACCCGGAGCUCAACUCCGGACCUGCAGUCGAUACGGGCAGGCUGGAGUUCGGCAGGGGAGACUGGAAUUCCUGGUGUAGCGGUGAAAUGCGUAGAUAUCAGGAGGAACACCUGUGGCGAAGGCGGCUCACUGGACCGUAACUGACGCUGAUGAGCGAAAGCUAGGGGAGCAAACAGG
rnacentral:rRNA from 1 species